AGGAAAGUACCUUGUGCUUUUCUCUUCCAGAAACCUUUGCAUUCCUAAUGGUUUCCCAAUCUUGGCGGGAAAGCAGAUUCUCUACUUUCCCGGAUAAAACGCUGUGUUUAGGAAAGAAAUUCUGAGUGUUCCACCAGUAGGUUAACCAAGGUAUAUAGUGAGCAGCUCGAAGCGCCCAUUGAUCCUGUGGAGCUUGCUUCUUAUAGGCAUAAGAUGACAGGUUGGCAGGAAGUCCUGGCCACCAGUAGUUGAUCGCAGGAGCGAUCAGUGCUGCUCCAGCUAGCCUGUUGUAACAGGCAUCCCAAACAUAUCGAACUUUAGAGAGAAAUUUCAGUAUCGAACGAUGCAUCAUCAGGUAACGAGGCUGCUUGCAAAAUCUUACCUAUGAGGGAUGUACUGAAGACACUUCCAGAUGACCUGUCCUCCCAUUGAGUAUCCAAUCACAUAAAAUUUGGAUCCGAGUUCCAGCUGAUCACCAAGCUCCUCUAUAUCUAACGCCAAGCUCUUCGUUGUUCGCUUAGGAUCUGGAUCACUUUCACCGUGCCCUGGUCUGUCGAAAGACACAAUGUACACACCUAAAUCUUCAAUAACUUCCUGAGGAAAGAAAAAAAAAACACCCACCACGAAAUCAACCAAUAAAGAGUUGAACUGAAAAAUGGCAAAGAAUCAAGCAGGGCAGUACCGGAGAGACGGCUGUUGCAAUGAUUGGAUCAUGUCGGGGACUAAAGAAGGGAUGAACAAAGAUAAUCUUGUACUUGGCCACUUGUUUUGGAACACCAUGUUCCUUGUAGGCCAAAUAUCUUCCAUCCCUUAGCCUUAUUCUAGGUGCUGUGACGGGUGGACCGCCAGGCGAACCACAGAUGUUCGGAGGUGGUGGUCGGGCGGCCUGAUAUGCCCACGCCAGCAAUCCAACCAACAAGAUGAAUGUGAUCCUCUUAAACAUGUUUGAGAAAAUGGAAAGUAUGAAACUUUGCUCACCUGCAGUAAAGAAGCAAAUAUAAAAAUAACAUUACACUUGAGGACAUCAUUGUAUAAUAAGUUUUAAGGUGCUUUUAGAUUUAGGUAAAAAAAAAAAAGUUGUUUUGAGCGUGAGUACAGUAAUCUAAUUAACUGUUUUUAUACCAAUUUUACCUUUUUAGAUAAUAAUAUUUAAAUUCUUUAACUGGAGAAAACAAUUCCUAAGUAUUAAAAUAGAAAAUCGAUCUACGUGGCAAGCAAUCAAAUGAUCAUAUCUUUGAAAUUAAAUAUACACCUUUUUCGUAGGUAUAAAAACAUUAUAAUACAUUUUGAGAAAGGAGAUGAUGAUAUGUGAGAGAAAAGAAAGAUUCGAAGAUGUUUGAAGUUUGAAACGUAAGGCCAUCUCCAACCGAAGGGUCUAGAGGGCCAGAGGGUCGAAAAUAGCCCUAAAACCAUCUCCAAACGAGGGCUAGGCCAGAGGGCUCUGGAAUCUGGGAGGGCCCCAUGGGAUCGGAGAGGGCUGGAGGGCUGGAGGGCUGGCUGCUUUCGGCCAGCUAGCCAGCCCCGGGCUGGCUUAUUUUUUUUUUAAUGUUUUCUAUUGCUGUCGGUUUUAACUGACAGCAUUAAACAGGUUUUAUUUUUUUUUAAUAGUUCUACUAUUAGUGUCGGUUAUAACCGACACUAAUAGUUUGAAUGUUUUUUAAUACAAUGGCUAGUAGCCGUUGUAUUAUUAGGCCUUUUUUUUUUUUUUAAACUUUUUUUUUCCCUUUUUUUUUCCUUUUCAUAUUAAUCAAAUUUUGUUUCAUAUUUUUUUUCAAUUCUAUUUUACAAAAUUUGUUUCAAUUUUUUUUUAAAUUCUAUUUUUUUCCUAUAACUUCUAUUUUACAAAAUUUGAUUCAUAUUUUAUUUCCUAUAACUUCUAUUUCACAAAAUUUGUUUCAUAAUUUUUUUCAAUUCUAUUUUUUUCCUAGGCCAUUUAUACAACAUUAAAUUAAAUUAAGUAACAUGAAACAACAUUAAACAAUAUGAAAUAACAUUAAAUAACAUUAACCAACAUACAAAUUAUACAAUUAUGUUUGGCCCUAGCCGUUAGAUUUGAAUUUAAAUUGUAGUUUUUAAAUAAUAAAUUAUGUUUGGCCCUAUGGCCCUUUGGCCCUCGGUUGGAGACGGUUUUUUGUGACAGGGCUAAAACGAGCCAUCUGGCCCUCUGGCCCUCGGUUGGAGACGGAGGCAAAUAUGGCCAUGUACUGUUCAUUAAAAUAUUAAUAUCUUGGAGAAUCUUGGAGGGCCAGAGGGCUAAAACGAGCCCUCUGGCCAGCCAUCGGUUGGAGAUGGCCUAAGGAACAAAAACACAAAGAUACAACAAAAUGAGUUGAUUAAAAAGAAAACAAGAAAUAAAAGAGAAUGCUUCCAUGGUGCUUUGGUGCCACCUGUCUCGUAUUUGUUGGGUUAGUUGGAGUGUUUUAAUCAGACUUGACCAAACGAGAUUCAAUGAGGGGAAUUCAUUUCUACAUUUAAGAACAAAGCAGUAGCAGAUGCCAUUCAAAAACGAGAAGGAAAAACGAAAAAAAGAAAAAAAGAAAAGGAAUUUUUUUGUUUACUAUUCUAAAGUGAUAGUGAUUCUCACUACUAUAUUUAUUAUCGUAAAAUAAGUUUAAAUUUUAGAUAUGUGUAGUAAAUAGAUACAGAUCUUAAAUUUUAAACUCAUCAAAUGAUGGUAAAUAGAGUUGUGAGUAUUAUCAUCACUUAAUAAUGAUGAUUCGUGAGCAAAAAUGCACCCGAAAAGAAAUUAUGAAGAUAAAACGAGCAGUGAGAAGUAGGUCGGGGAAGAGAUUUAAUUCCUAAUCACUGAAUUUAUUUCAACAAGUAAACUAUUCUUAAUAAUAGUUCGAAAAACUAGACUUAUAGUAAGUUUUCUCGAGUUUUUUAAUUUGCUACUUCCCCUCAAUUGAUGAAAGGUUAUUUAAAUAAAACAACAACCAGAAAAAUGGACAAUCUAGUAUAAAGAAAACAAAUACACACACACUUUACUUUUAUCGAAAACAAUAUUACAACAUCAAAACUAUAAGAUGCGGAUUUUAAUAUAUAAGAGAAACACUGUUCUAGCUAAUUUGAUUAUACUAAUUGUUCCUGUAAACGCACACAAUCAAUAAAUAAGUUGCAAAUUAAAGGAUGCACUCCAUUGUUUAACCAAAACCACAAGAAAAGAAAGCAUAAAAAAUCAUACUUGCUAAUGUGGUUUUUUGGUAAAAACUUACCACCAACGCUCCUCCCUCUGUGAUAAUAAUAAGUUUAUGCAGAAGAAAAUGGCAGAAGCCAGGCUCAGUGAGCAGCUGCUUUUAGCUUUUGUGUGGUUGUUAAAUUACGUGAAGGAACCCACCUUCACCUAAUUCACGGCUCGUUUCUUGUCUAGGACUGGCUUGACUUAGACAAUCUGCUGGAUUUUAAAGAAAAAAAAAAUAUGAAUGCCAGAUAUUUUGUCAAAGUGACGAACGUAGAUGGAGACGCGAAGAAAAAUUGUCCAUCUUUAUCUUAAACUUUUUGUAAAGAUUAGGAGGAAUAAGUUUUGUUGGUAAUUUUAAUGAGAUAUUUGUCGAUCUCCUUCGAACUUGUAAAAAGUUGCUAAAUUUCUGUAUAAACUUUAAUUUUAGUCGAUUACUCACCUAAAUUGCUAUAAUUAGCCAAAUUUUCCCUUAAUGUUAGAUUUUGGAAUUUUUCUUCUAUUUUGACCACAACAAAUGUCUGAGGACAAUAAAGUAAUUUUAUUUCUAAUGUGGACAUCAAUUUGCUUUUUGUUUUUUCCUUCUCCACUUCCUUGAUGCUUUUUGUUUUUUCCUUCUCCACUUCCUCGACGCCGUUCACUGUCUGUUCGAAUUAGUAGCUGCAAAGUAUUAGCUUUGCACCCAAUUUAUCAAAACAAAAUUACCUUUUUAUCUUCAUACAAUUGUCAUGUAUUGUUUGCGUGACCAAAACAGAGGAAAAAAUUUAAAAUCUAACAGGGAAAAAUUAGCUAUUUAUAACAGUUUAAAAUAAUAAUCAGUUAAAAUUAUAUUUCAAAACAAAGAUUAACAGUUGCAUAAAAGUUCGGAGGCAAAUCAAGAAAUAGGUUAAUUUUAAUUAAUGGCAUAUUAUAAGUAACAAAUCCUUGUGGUAUUUGGUAGUUGGUAUUGCGUACCACCUAACACAACCACACAGAAAAAUGCAUCCAUUGGUGGCCAUGGUUCGCAGCCUUCCUCUUCACUUUUAUUCUUUUUCUCUAUUGGGUUGGGAUUUUUAUGAGUCAGCACUGAACAGGCAGGCAGGGGUGGUUGUUGGUUAGUCCAAUCCAAAAGUUGGAGGAAAAGACUUGGCUAAUGAAGAAUUCAGCAGCAGAUUCUGCUUACAACUAAUCUGGCUGGAGACAUGUCCAAUUUUUGUUAAAAAAAAUUAAAAUUUAGACACGUGUCUAAUCGGGAUUGGCAGUAAGCAGGACCUGCUGCUGAAUUUGCAGCAGCCAAGUCCAGUUCAAAGUUGGAGGCUACUCAACAACACGACAUAAAUAAUAGACGACAUAAAAGACAAGUCUAUAUGCGGGGGCUGUUAGUUGUCCUAAUAAGAGUAGACAAAGGCUAAUGGAUUUCUCAGAUAAUCACAGUUUAACAUCAAUUGUCGUCUGAAUAUUAUAAAAUAUUAUAUAAAAAACAUGAGGUAUAGAGAGUUCAUUGAAAAUCUCACUCUUGAGAGUCCUUUAUCAUUUCUAUAAGAUUUUGGUUACAACCGUACCAUUGGAGCAUCUCCAAAAAAAAGAUAAUGUAUAAUUUCUAUAAUGUAGCAUCUCUGAGAGAGCUGCCCUGUAUCGACGACGUCAAUGGUCUACUCUUUAAUUAGAAGUGCCUUUAAGAUGACUUCGCUCAUACCAUCAGCAGCUGGCAACAAAUGUCCACCACCUGGUACCUCAUGGUAGUGAAUCCAUGGAAGCUUUUCGGCAAUAUAGCGUUGCAGCUCAACUGGGACAAGCUUAUCUUCGACUCCCUGCCAUAGAUGGAUCGAGCCUUCGUUGUUGACAAAAGGGUUCUUCAGAUCCGUAGGAUUAAAUUCCCAGCUCCCAAAUCCAACUAUCAUGUCGCGAAAGAUGGACUCAGCUUCUCCUUGCUGCGUGACAUGUUCCUGCCCAAACAAACAACAAAACAAAACAAAAAUCAUCAACGCUGCCGAGUUUCUAUAAAAUCUUAAACAAUUAGCGAUCGAAUAAGGAAAGUACCUUGUGCUUUUCUCUUCCAGAAACCUUUGCAUUCCUAAUGAUUUCCCAAUCUUGGCGGGAAAACAUAUUCUCUGGUUUUCCGGAUACAACGCUGGAUUUAGGAAAGAAUUUCUGAGUGUUCCACCAGUAGGUUAACCAAGGUAUAUAGUGAGCAGCUCGAAGCGCCCAUUGAUCCUGCGGAGGUUGCUUCUUAUAGGCAUAAGAUGACAAGUUGGCAGGAAGUCCUGGCCACCAGUAGUUGAUCACCGGAGCGAUCAGCGCUGCUCCUGCUAGCCUGUUG
rnacentral:lncRNA from 1 species